UAUGUACUCCCUCCGUUCGGAAUUAUUUGUCGAAGAAAUGAAUGUAUCUAGAUGUAUUUUAGUUAUAGAUACAUUCGUUUUUGUGACAAGUAAUUCUGAACGGAGGAAGUACAUA
rfam:Triticum aestivum genome assembly, contig: Triticum_aestivum_CS42_TGACv1_scaffold_577117_7BL